rnacentral:rRNA from 1 species
AAACCGUUGAAAGGGAAGCGAAUGGAGUUAGCAAUUCGCCCUGCCAGAUUCAGCUGCUCGUGCUUCGCGACGUGCGCGCUCUCGAUCCGCAUGGACGAGACGUGUGCGGGCGCGGUGCUCGGACGGCGCACUUCUGACGGGCGAGCGUCAGCGUCGGUUGUCGACGGGCGACAAGGAUGCAAGGAAGGUGGACUGGUUUAUCCAGUUGUUAAAGCCUUGYGCUCGUAUAGCUCGACGGCGACCGUGGCUCGAAGAGGCGACGCGUGCCUGGCUGGCGACUCGGACGAUCGGUCUGGCAUGUCGACUGUGGCGGACGGCACGCCUGUGCGCUCGAACUGCUGCCGGUCGAUCGUGCGAUGUUCGCACACUACGCGUCGAAGAUGCUGACGACCAUACGGCUCCAUCCGACCCGUCUUGAAACACGGACCAAGGAGUCUAACAUGUGCGCGAGUCUCCGGGUGAUCGAAACCCGUGGGCGCAAUGAAAGUAAAGGUCGUCCUAGACGAUUGAGGUGAGAAGCAGGUGCCUCGGCGCUUGCCGCAUCAUCGACCGACCUAUUCUGCUCUCAGAAAGGUUUGAGUAAGAGCGUAUCUGUUGGGACCCGAAAGAUGGUGAACUAUGCCUGAAUAGGGUGAAGCCAGCGGAAACACUGGU